GCUGGAAGGAAACCCUAUCAUUUGUCUGCCACUAGGAUCCAGCAUUUACUCAAAUAUCCAAAGCCCAAAGUCUCUUCUGAGACAAGGCUGCAGUCCCUUCUGCCCUGAGACACUGAAAUACACAGCAAAUUAACUACUUCCAAGGUACAAUGACUGUACAGGCAUUGGUUAAGCAUUCCCAGCCAAAAAGAAGAAAUUUGCCAGUAAGAAACACAAAACACAGAUGGGACUUACAAACCCCCUGCAAGUCAA
rnacentral:lncRNA from 1 species